UACAGAGGUCCCAAGCGUUGUUCGGAUUCACUGGGCGUAAAGGGUGCGCAGGUGGUCGGGUAAGUCUGAUGUGAAAUCCCGCAGCUCAACUGCGGAAUGGCAUUGGAUACUAUUUGGCUAGAGGGUUGGAGGGGGGACUGGAAUUCUCGGUGUAGCAGUGAAAUGCGUAGAUAUCGAGAGGAACACCAGUGGCGAAAGGCGAGUCCCUGGACAACUCCUGACGCUGAGGCAACGAAAGCUAGGGGAGUCAAACAGG
rnacentral:rRNA from 1 species